CGCAAAGCAUUAAAGAUAGUGUUGGCUUAAAUGAGCCACCAUCCUGUUCUGUGGUGGGAGACCAUGUUAGGUCGAGUCAUAUUCGAAAUGGCAUGAGGCUGGGUGGGCCGAAUCAUGUUCGAAUUGGCGUGAGGCUGGUUGGGCCGAGUCACAAUUGAGAUUUGUGGGCGCUGUAUCUGUACGCUUUAAGUGAAUUGGUUGUGUAUUUCUAACAGCUCGAGCUUUUGGAAUUAAUGAUUAGCGCCAACGAUCCAACAAGUGGUAUCAGAGCCAGAGGUUAUGGGUUCGAUUUUCGCAUGCUGCAAUUAUGUGCAGGUGUUGGAGGAGGAAUUGUUGGCUUAAAUGGGCUAGCAUCCUGCCCUGUGGCGGGAUGCCAUGUUGGACUGAGUCAUAUUCGAAAUGGCGUGAGGCUGGGUGGGCCGAGUCAUGUUCGAAGUGACAUGAGACUGGUUGGGCCGAAUCACAAUCGAAAUCCGUCGGUGUUGUAUCUAUACGUUUUAAGUGAAUUGAUUGCGUAUUUGUAACAGCUGGAGCUUUUGGGAUUAAUUGUUAGAGCCAACGAUCCGACAGUUAGUCCAUUUGAAAAAAAAAAAAAAUUUUUCAAACUAUUGCUAGUCCAAAAAACGAAAUUAGGAUAAAAAUAUAUAACGGUAUGCUUAUGUGUUUUCUAGCAGAACCAUAAAAAUUAUACAAUAAUUAUAGAAUCAUUGCGAUUUAUCAAAUAUAAUAGUUUUAGAAAACAAACAAAAUGUUUUCCAUCAGUUUUUCACUACACGUAUUACAUUUUUAGUAUAAUUCCAAACGAAUCCU
rnacentral:lncRNA from 1 species